AAUGAACGCUAGCGGUGUGCCUAACACAUGCAAGUUAUACGAGAAAGAAAUUUCUAGUAGCAAACGGGUGAGUAACGCGCGAGAAUCUGCUCUUAUGGAAGAGGAUAACAUUUAGAAAUAUUUGCUAAAACUCUAUAUGCUUUAAAAAAGUGAAAAAAGAAAUUUGCCUAAGAAAGAGCUCGCGUCUGAUUAGCUAGUUGGUAGGGUAAUGGCCUACCAAGGCGAUGAUCAGUAGCUGGUUUGAGAGAAUGAUCAGCCACACUGGCACUGAGAUACGGGCCAGACUCCUACGGGAGGCAGCAGUGAGGAAUAUUGCGCAAUGGGCGAAAGCCUGAAGCAGCAACGCCGCGUGUGCGAUGAAGGCCUUCGGUCGUAAGCACUUUCUACGAGAUGAGAAAGGACAGUAUCGUAGGAAUAAGUACUCGGCUAACUACGUG
rnacentral:rRNA from 1 species